rnacentral:siRNA from 1 species
CAGAAACGUCCUACAACAAGUCA